rnacentral:rRNA from 1 species
UGAGGAAUAUUGCUCAAUGGGGGAAACCCUGAAGCAGCAACGCCGCGUGAGGGAUGAAGGCGCUCUGCGUUGUAAACCUCUGUAGUUGGGGACAAAUGUGGGGUUACUACCCCAUUGAUGGUACCCAAAAAGUAAGGAUCGGCUAACUACGUGCCAGCAGCCGCGGUAAUACGUAGGAUCCGAGCGUUGUCCGGAUUUACUGGGUGUAAAGGGUGCGCAGGCGGACUGGUAAGUCAGUGGUGAAAUCUCGUCGCUUAACGACGAAACUGCCUUUGAUACUAUCAGUCUUGAGUCCGGUAGAGAUCUGUGGAAUUCCGAGUGUAGCAGUGAAAUGUGUAGAUAUUCGGAAGAACACCAGUGGCGAAGGCAGCAGAUUGGGCCGGUACUGACGCUCAUGCACGAAAGCGUGGGGAUCAAACAGG